GGAUAGCUCAGUUGGUUAGAGCGUGGUGCUGAUGACGCCAUGGCUGCAUAUUCGAUCCCCAUAUGGGACA